UACGGAGGGGGCUAGCGUUGUUCGGAAUUACUAGGGCGUAAAGCGCACGUAGGCGGCUUUGUAAGUUAGAAGGUGAAAGGCCCGGGGCCUCAACUCCGGAAUUGCCUUUAAGACUGCAUCGCUAGGAAUUGUGGAGAGGUAAGUGGAAUUCCGGAAGUGUAGAGGUGAAAUUCGUGAGAUAUUCGGAAGAAAGCACCAGUGGCGAAGGGCGACUUACUGGACACAUAGUUGACGACUGAGGUGGGCGAAAAGCGUUGGGGAGACCAAACAGGA
rnacentral:rRNA from 1 species